GUGGGGAAUCUUGCGCAAUGGGCGAAAGCCUGACGCAGCCAUGCCGCGUGAAUGAUGAAGGUCUUAGGAUUGUAAAAUUCUUUCACCGGGGACGAUAAUGACGGUACCCGGAGAAGAAGCUCCGGCUAACUUCGUGCCAGCAGCCGCGGUAAUACGAAGGGGGCUAGCGUUGCUCGGAAUUACUGGGCGUAAAGGGCGCGUAGGCGGACAGCUUAGUCAGAGGUGAAAGCCCAGGGCUCAACCUUGGAAUUGCCUUUGAUACUGGCUGUCUGGAGUUUGGGAGAGGUAAGUGGAACUCCGAGUGUAGAGGUGAAAUGCGUAGAUAUAGGAAGGAACACCAGUGGCGUAAGCGGCUAUCUGGACGAGUAUUGACGCUGAGGCACGAAAGCGUGGGGAUCAAACAGGAUUAGAUACCCCGGUAGUCC
rnacentral:rRNA from 1 species